UAUUCGAUUACCUCAUAAGUCGCCAAUAGUGCUGUGAAAGACCUGCGAAAGUGUUGUAAAGCAAAACAACUGCGCUCUAAAGUACGCGGUGUCGGCGAUGUGAGUGUUUCCAAUCCAAAUGGUAGUGACAAGGUUGCUCCGCUUUAAAGCAAUUUAACUGGUUGCCUUCGAUUGACGGACUGACAACUGCACUAAAGCGAAAAAAUCAACAAUUCAACUAACAAGGAGAGAUAAUAAGAGAACGAGCAGAGAAAAAAAGCAUAAAAUCGUAAAAUCAGCAAAAUCAACACAAACUACUACAGUGCGUAAGCAAGCGGCAUUUGUACAUCAUUUUACUAGAAAAACAAACAACAGCUCUACAGUUCAUUUACGUUUUCAAAUAAACAAUAGUGACUAUUGCGUGUGUAUGAGAGAGAGAAAGAAAACGUAAGAAAAAACUUACGCCAGACAUAAAACAACGCGAGUUGCAAUUGGGCAACGUUUCAUUCAGGACAACCACAGCAACAACAACGAGAGUGAACGGAAGAGCGAGCUUAACAGCAUUAACGGUGCCCUUCUGGGUGCCACUGGCUGCGGCGCUAACACGCGCGUCGGUGGCCUUGACAGCUGUUUUUCUAGGACAUUGGGAUCUGCAGAGCAUAUCCCACAUCCCCUAUUGGAAAUCUACUUGGUUUUAUUUCGGAACUGACAACUGUCAAUUGUGUACGUUUUUGUAAUUUUAAUGGCAUUUCGUUGUUUGUUCGAUGCCACAAAAGAUGAACAAUGAACAAAUUGGUGUUUCAUCAAUAUCAUCAUCAGCGACAACCUUAUCAUCAUCCACAAUAUCCACAUCUGCAACAGCAACAGCAGCAGCAGCA
rnacentral:sRNA from 1 species